rnacentral:rRNA from 1 species
CAGUAGCCGCGGGAAAACGGAGGGUGCAAGCGUUAAUCGGAAUUACUGGGCGUAAAACGCACGCAGGCGGUCUGACAAGUCAGAUGUGAAAUCCCCGGGCUUAACCUGGGAACUGCAUUUGAAACUGUCAGGCUGGAGUCUUGUAGAGGGGGGUAGAAUUCCAGGUGUAGCGGUGAAAUGCGUAGAGAUCUGGAGGAAUACCGGUGGCGAAGGCGGCCCCCUGGACAAAGACUGACGCUCAGGUGCGAAAGCGUGGGGAGCAAACAGGAUUAGAUACCCCUGUAGUCCCUGUCUCUUAUAC